rnacentral:rRNA from 1 species
GACGAACGCUGGCGGCGUGCUUAACACAUGCAAGUCGAACGGAAAGGCCCUGCUUUUGUGGGGUGCUCGAGUGGCGAACGGGUGAGUAACACGUGAGUAGCCUGCCCUUGACUUUGGGAUAACUUCAGGAAACUGGGGCUAAUACCGGAUAGGAGCUCCUGCUGCAUGGUGGGGGUUGGAAGGUUUCGGCGGUUGGGGAUGGACUCGCGGCUUAUCAGCUUGUUGGUGGGGUAGUGGCUUACCAAGGCUUUGACGGGUAGCCGGCCUGAGAGGGUGACCGGCCACAUUGGGACUGAGAUACGGCCCAGACUCCUACGGGAGGCAGCAGUGGGGAAUAUUGCACAAUGGGCGGAAGCCUGAUGCAGCAACGCCGCGUGCGGGAUGACGGCCUUCGGGUUGUAAACCGCUUUCGCCUGUGACGAAGCGUGAGUGACGGUAAUGGGUAAAGAAGCACCGGCUAACUACGUG